rnacentral:rRNA from 1 species
AAUAUUGGACAAUGGGGGCAACCCUGAUCCAGCCAUGCCGCGUGUGUGAAGAAGGUCUUCGGAUUGUAAAGCACUUUAAGUUGGGAGGAAGGGCUCUAGGUUAAUACUUUGAAGUUUUGACGUUACCAACAGAAUAAGUACCGGCUAACUCGGUCCCAGCAGCCGCGGGAAACCAGAGGGUGCAAGCGUUAAUCGCAAUUACUGGGCGUAAAGCGCGCGUAGGUGGUUGAGUAAGAUGGGUGUGAAAUCCCCGGGCUUAACCUGGGAACUGCUUUCAUAACUGCUGAGCUAGAGUACGGUAGAGGGUAGUGGAAUUUCCUGUGUAGCGGUGAAAUGCGUAGAUAUAGGAAGGAACACCAGUGGCGAAGGCGACUACCUGGACUGAUACUGACACUGAGGUGCGAAAGCGUGGGGAGCAAACA